rnacentral:rRNA from 1 species
AUACGGAGGGUGCAAGCGUUAAUCGGAAUUACUGGGCGUAAAGCGCGCGUAGGCGGUUUGAUAAGUCGGAUGUGAAAUCCCCGGGCUCAACCUGGGAAUUGCAUUCGAUACUGUCAGGCUAGAGUGUGGUAGAGGGAAGUGGAAUUUCCGGUGUAGCGGUGAAAUGCGUAGAUAUCGGAAGGAACACCAGUGGCGAAGGCGGCUUCCUGGACCAACACUGACGCUGAGGUGCGAAAGCGUGGGGAGCAAACAGGAUUAGAUACCCUUGUAGUCC